rnacentral:SRP_RNA from 2 species
GCCGAGCUUAGUAACUCAAGCUUAUUACCCAAGUGGGGGCACAAAAGUGUUGGAACGCUGUCCCAGCUAUAGCGGGUCGGGUCAUGCUUGGCAAUGUUCUGGCCCGCCCGUUCCAAGCAAGGAGUCGGGUCAUGUGUCUUGAGCGAAGGCUCUGGUCACAUGGUCCUUAGACAGGAGGGCAAAGCGUGAGGCUGGUUUCACAGAGCAGCGAUAACCUCCCUCUCCUUGCAGUGGAAGGAUAACGGGUCGGAGCCAACUUGAAGUCUACAAUAAUCUAUCUUUCUUGUCAAUUACUUCAUCUUU